rnacentral:rRNA from 1 species
AGGGUGCAAGCGUUGUCCGGAAUUACUGGGCGUAAAGAGCUCGUAGGUGGUUUGUCGCGUCGUCUGUGAAAUACCGGGGCUUAACUCCGGAGCUGCAGGCGAUACGGGCAUAACUUGAGUGCUGUAGGGGAGACUGGAAUUCCUGGUGUAGCGGUGGAAUGCGCAGAUAUCAGGAGGAACACCGAUGGCGAAGGCAGGUCUCUGGGCAGUAACUGACGCUGAGGAGCGAAAGCAUGGGGAGCGAA